UACGUAGGGUGCGAGCGUUAAUCGGAAUUACUGGGCGUAAAGCGUGCGCAGGCGGUUUUGUAAGUCAGAUGUGAAAUCCCCGGGCUCAACCUGGGAACUGCGUUUGAAACUACAAGGCUAGAGUGUAGCAGAGGGGGGGUAGAAUUCCACGUGUAGCAGUGAAAUGCGUAGAGAUGUGGAGGAAUACCGAUGGCGAAGGCAGCCUCCUGGGCCAACACUGACGCUCAUGCACGAAAGCGUGGGGAGCAAACAGG
rnacentral:rRNA from 1 species